rfam:Canis lupus familiaris chromosome 32, whole genome shotgun sequence.
AGGAGAAACAACCCUAGUGGCGGCGGCUAGCUCUGCAGCCCUGGAGUCAGCCCCCGCAGUAGCUCUGGAGCUCUCCGUCUGCAGGGCCUGGAGGCUCCGGGGCGGG